CUCCUAGCUUGGUCUACCUAACUCUUCAAGUCCUGCUCUGGCAAUUCCUUCCCGUUCCUCCUCCCUCUCCAGUUUCUGUCACAGAGCCAGCCUGAAAACAGGAGGGGGCUGAUUUUUGCCAGCUGCAGAAAAUUUACAUUUGAAAUUCUUGGAACUCUUGAGAGGGCCUGGGGCAACUGUUAUUCCCCCCUGGCGCUGCCCCUGCAGCUGCUGAUCUCUGCUGCUGCUGUUGCUGUUGUUGCUGCUGCUGCUGCUUCUGCUGCUCCCCACUGCUGCUGCCUCCCUCUGUUGUGUUUGCUGCUUUUGCUAUUGCUGGACUGCUGGGUUGCUGUUUGCUGGUUUGCUGCUUGGAGAUAUCCUGACGAAGAUUGGACUUCCUCCUAGAAACUCGAUGGCCCUAAGUAAUGGGUGAAUCAUGAAUAGGUUCACAACGCUGUGCCUCAGACAUGGAGAACGGGCGACUUGGAAGAGCUAAUCAAGGACAGCCUGCAGGGAAUGAAUGUUUGCUUGUAUGUUUCGGAGUUUGAAAAACUAUACAUUCAAGUCUGAAAGAGAUGUUGGAGUAGGCACAAAAAUCAAUACAAAAUACUAAGC
ensembl:lincRNA 1700030O20Rik RIKEN cDNA 1700030O20 gene